rnacentral:rRNA from 1 species
CCUACGGGUGGCUGCAGUGGGGAAUAUUGGACAAUGGGGGCAACCCUGAUCCAGCCAUGCCGCGUGUGUGAAGAAGGCCCUCGGGUUGUAAAGCACUUUCAGUGAGGAAGAACGCCUGGUGGUUAAUACCCAUCAGGAAAGACAUCACUCACAGAAGAAGCACCGGCUAACUCCGUGCCAGCAGCCGCGGAAAUACGGAGGGUGCGAGCGUUAAUCGGAAUUACUGGGCGUAAAGCGCGCGUAGGUGGCUUGAUAAGCCGGUUGUGAAAGCCCCGGGCUCAACCUGGGAACGGCAUCCGGAACUGUCAAGCUAGAGUGCAGGAGAGGAAGGUAGAAUUCCCGGUGUAGCGGUGAAAUGCGUAGAGAUCGGGAGGAAUACCAGUGGCGAAGGCGGCCUUCUGGACUGACACUGACACUGAGGUGCGAAAGCGUGAGUAGCAAACAGGAUUAGAUACCCUGGUAGUC